GUGUUGUAUGAGCCGAGAGACAGUUGGCACAUCCCCUUGAUAAGGACGGAGAUGGAUCAUUGUCCAAAAUUAAACAACACAUGUUGUUAUAAAGGCACAAAUAUAUUUCGAUAUUGCUAUCGAGAUAUGUCUUUAACCAUUUUUUUUU
rnacentral:ncRNA from 1 species